CUGAGCAAGAUGGAGAAGCAGGGCACGUGCAAUUCUAACUCAUGAAACCAUAGAAUCAUAGAAAAUCACUUGUUUUUUUCUUCUUCUUUU
rnacentral:pre_miRNA from 1 species